rnacentral:tRNA from 1 species
AUUUAUAUAGUUUAAAUAAAACCUUACAUUUUCACUGUAAAAAUAGAUUACUUCUUAUAAAUA